UUGGACCUGAUAUCAGGCAAGAUUACCCGCUGAACUUAAGCAUAUCA
rnacentral:rRNA from 5 species